CCUACGGGAGGCAGCAGUGGGGAAUAUUGGACAAUGGGGGCAACCCUGAUCCAGCCAUGCCGCGUGUGUGAAGAAGGCCCUCGGGUUGUAAAGCACUUUCAGUGAGGAAGAACGCCUGGUGGUUAAUACCCAUCAGGAAAGACAUCACUCACAGAAGAAGCACCGGCUAACCCCGUGCCAGCAGCCGCGGUAAUACGGAGGGUGCGAGCGUUAAUCGGAAUUACUGGGCGUAAAGCGCGCGUAGGUGGCUUGAUAAGCCGGUUGUGAAAGCCCCGGGCUCAACCUGGGAACGGCAUCCGGAACUGUCAAGCUAGAGUGCAGGAGAGGAAGGUAGAAUUCCCGGUGUAGCGGUGAAAUGCGUAGAGAUCGGGAGGAAUACCAGUGGCGAAGGCGGCCUUCUGGACUGACACUGACACUGAGGUGCGAAAGCGUGGGUAGCAAACAGGAUUAGAUACCCCUGUAGUC
rnacentral:rRNA from 1 species